GCGAACUCUUCCCAUGUCAUACUGUCUAUUCUGGGGUCCACAUAGUUCUUGAACCAUUCUCUGGUUUUCUUACAUUUUAAUGUGAACCCUGCCAUCUCAAUGGCCCUGCUCUCGUCUGCUCCUAACUCACUUGUUAUCAUCCUGACUGCACUGAGAUACUCAAAGGGAUCAUCUCCCGUAUUGAAUUUAGGAGCAUCCAACUUUAAGUACUCCGUCAUCUUCACCUUAGUUCCCCCUGAAGAACUGGGUUGUGCUUCAACAACAGGGGCUACUGGUUCAGGUGGUGGUGGUGGAGGUACUGUUUCUCUGGAUUCAGGCGAUGCUGAACUUGGAUAAAAAGGUGGGGGUGGAUACAUGUGAUAUGGUGGAUAGAAGGAAG
rnacentral:lncRNA from 1 species